AUUUUUGUUUUAUUUUAUAGUGGUCACUGGGUGUUGGUUGCUAUGGAUCUUUCGAGACUAAUUGUAUAUUAUCUCGAUUCAUUAUCGGGUGAUUGGAGUAAAUAUCCGAGUAUGAAGAAGACGGUUGACGCGUAAGUGAAAUUCCCCUAAAUAUUCGUGUGUAUUUGUAUAUUUAAUUAUGUCUGUCAGAUUGAUCUCAAUAUACGUUUUUAUUUUGUUAGGGCAAUACUAAAAUUUAGAUCGAAAAAGAAUUACCACAAUAGGAAGGACAUUACCUGGGUCAGAGUUCAGUGUCCUCAGCAAAAUAAUUCGGUCGAUUGCGGAUUUUUUGUAUUGAGAUUUAUGAGAGAUAUCAUUGCGUUGAAUCGUAUAGACAUCCCAAAAAUGUACUUUGAGGAAUACAAAUCUUACUCAAGAGCUCAUUUGGAUGAAAUGAAGGAUGAAUUGUGUCAAUUCAUUGUUGAUCAAAGAAUCAUAUAGCUAGGUUGUAUAUUGUUGUACAUAUAUGUAUGGAAUGUUGUUGUUGUAUGCUGUUGUUGUAUAUAUGGUGUAUAUUGUUGUUGUACUUUUACUAAAUCAUGAAUAUGUUGUUGUAUAUUGUUGAUCAAAGAAUCAUAUAUUAAUGUUGUAUAUA